rnacentral:rRNA from 1 species
GGCGAGAGACCGAUAGCGAACAAGUACCGUGAGGGAAAGAUGAAAAGAACUUUGAAAAGAGAGUUAAACAGUACGUGAAAUUGUUGAAAGGGAAACGAUUGAAGUCAGUCAUACCAACGGGAAAUCAACCUUUUGAGUUUGUUCUUGUGGGUUUCGAGGAGUUUAAAAGCCUUCGGAUUUGCUAGGAUUGGGCUCUUUUGGUGUACUUUCUCGUNCGGUUAGUCAACAUCGGUUUUGAAUGUCAUAAAAUGA